CCCUUAGAUGUUCUGGGCCGCACGCGCGCUACACUGACGAAGUCAGCGAGCAUGUCCUACGCCGACAGGUGCGGGGAAUCUUGUCAAACUUCGUCGUGAUGGGGAUUGAUUAUUGAAAUUCUUGGUCAUCAACGAGGAAUUCCUAGUAAGCGCAAGUCAGCAGCUUGCGUUGAUUACGUCCCUGCCCUUUGUACACACCGCCCGUCGCUACUACCGAUUGAAUGGUUUAGUGAGAUCUUCGGAUUGGCGCCACUGCGGCUCAGCAAUGGGCUCGGUGGAUGCCGAAAAGUUGAUCAAACUUGAUCAUUUAGAGGAAGUAAAAGUCGUAACA
rnacentral:rRNA from 1 species